UACGAAGGGGGCUAGCGUUGCUCGGAAUCACUGGGCGUAAAGGGUGCGUAGGCGGGUCUUUAAGUCGGGGGUGAAAUCCUGGAGCUCAACUCCAGAACUGCCCUUCGAUACUGGAAAGCUCGAGUCCGGGAGAGGUGAGUGGAACUGCGAGUGUAGAGGUGAAAUUCGUAGAUAUUCGCAAGAACACCAAGUGGCGAAGGCGGCUCACUGGCCCGGUACUGACGCUGAGGUGCGAAAGCGUGGGGAGCAAACAGGG
rnacentral:rRNA from 1 species